rnacentral:rRNA from 1 species
UCCUCUUGAAAAUAAUUUGAGGUAUGGCCUGCUCAAUGCGUAAAGUAAAUGGCUGCAGUACUUUGACUGUGCAAAGGUAGCAUAAUAAGUUGGCCUUUAAUUGGGGUCUGGAAUGAAUGGUUUGACAAAGAUUUAACUUUCUUAGGAUAAAAGUUUUUGAAAUUAAAUUGUUUGUAAAAAUGCUUACAUGAAAGAGAGGGACGAGAAGACCCUAUAGAUCUUUGAAUGAACAUGUAAUUUAUUAGUUUUCUUUUAAGCAGAGAAAAAUUAUAAAAUUAUUUUGUUUAUUUUAUUUGGGGAAAAUCCUGAAAAAAAAACUUCGGUUAAAAAUACUUAAAGAUAGAAUUAUCAAAAAAUUGAUCCAUGAGUUACUUUUAAUAGUAAGAAGUGAAAAAAUGAAAAAGUUACCUUAGGGAUAACAGGACAAUGAUUUCCUUGGAGGCCUUAUCUUCGGGAACGUUUGUUACCUCGAUGUUGAAUUAAGUUAUCUUAAAAAAGGAGAAAUUUUUAGAGUUGGUCUGUUCGACCAUUAAAAAC